ensembl:lncRNA
GGCCACAGCCCUGCCUGGCAGCUCCAAGGGAAUAGGUAAACAGAGAGAAGACAAACAUCAACAAGAAAGAGUGUAACUUACAAAGCACAUGUUUCCAGGGAGAAGAAUCCAGAGAAAACAUUAAAUGGUUGUCUGGAGCCCCCACCCAAGAUGAUAAAGAAGUGUCCUUGUUAACCCUGGGGAAGCUGACACUCCACCCCCUUGAUCUUCUUGUUCCAGCCCUGUGACCCCAGGAACCGUCUGCUGCAACUAGCACCCAGGAGCUCGUCUCUCUAUUUCUCACCCCAGCGUCUCUCCUCUGGCCCCUUCAUCUCACCUUCUUCCUUCCCACCCAGCACCCAGACCCUGCACUCAGGCAGGUGGGAGUUGGAGUCCUUGCUGGGUGACCGUGGGUCACAUGAGUUAAGAGAGGAUAACUUUAGAGAUGCUGGGAACUUCCUCGCCUGAUCUACCAAAGUCACAGGUCUCCAAAGCAGAGUCUGGGUCUCCCUGGGUGGGGAUCACCCAGGCAGCUCAAGAGAGAACCCCACCACUCAUCUUCCUGGGGCCCAGCCCUUGGCAGCCACUCCCUGAAGGGUCACAGUGGGGGGAUCUGGAGGAAGACCCCUCCAGGAAGGCCUCCUUUCAUGGCCUGGGACCUGGGUGGACCUCGAGGGCCUCACAAAAAUAAAAACUAAAGAAACUGUAAUGUUGGAUCCUGGGCAGCCUUGAAGCUCAGCAGUGCACCUGGAUCUCUUCCCUUUCCUGUAAAUAACGACCCGAAGAGGAAGUAGGACCGCCUGAUGGGACUACAGAGAACGAGGAGCAAGUUGUCCCCGCCCUUCUCAGUCCAGGGAUGUUGCUUCAUCGCCCUCUGAAAUGCAGGCCAGGGAAGCAGCCAGCGCCAGCACAGCAGCUGCCUUAUAAGGACAUGCACCAGGCCUGCCAGGUGAGGAAAGUAACUUGCCCAAGGUCACACAGAUGGUGAUUGGCAGAACUGAAAUUUGACCCCCCGAACGUGGGCUCCAGGGCCUGUGCCCCUGAGCGCUAAGCUACACUGCUGCGAGCUGCUGAGUUCAUACUUGUACCCCCUUCACCUCUUGGGGUUCUGGAGGAAAAGCAGUUGGGAGUCGAGGAUUUUGGUUCCCCAAGCACGGAACUGUUCCUUCCGGAGAGAGCGGCCCACAUGGCUUUGAACACUGUCUAGACUGAACUGAAACUGAAACAUUUAUUGUCCGUGCAGUGACCUGCAGCCAGGCCCAGCAGCCAGGAGUGGAGAUGUGAAGUUAUGCAACCAGAGGCAG